GCCGGUGUAGCUCAGUUGGUAGAGCAGUCGCUUCGUAAGCGAGAGGUCGGGGGUUCAAGUCCCUCCACCGGCACCA
rnacentral:tRNA from 2 species